rnacentral:tRNA from 1 species
GGAAGGGAGCCGGAUACGGUUUGCCGGGCCGGCUUGCUAAGCCGUGCGGCCUCCGGGCCAUGAGGGUUCGAGUCCCUCGCCUCCCGC